rnacentral:misc_RNA from 1 species
GGAAUCCCCCGUUAACCAGGUGUCCAAGUUUUAUGACCUUGCAGGUGGAGGGCCGAUCUUUGAAGACUGCCAUUUCUCUGCUUGUGUCUCAUCCAGCUAAAGGCAUGAGAAAUCUGAACUUCAAUCGUUGGUUUCAUAUGAGGUAUGGUGCGAGUGAGACACUGGAUGAUCUAAGUCUUCGUCGCCCAUUGUGAAUGGACGUGCGAUUGCUGCUUCGCUAGAACCACGAUCUCUGGUUUUGUUAGGCUCCCAUGGCUUUGAUCUCUCUUGUUCCCUAUGUCCCUAGUGUCGGUAGAUUCUUGGUGCAACUCUCUGGGUUUAGCUUUGUAGAAUGGCUGUUAUCUUUCUAUAUGGCCAAAUUGAAUGGUCUGUUUUGGUCGGCGAUUUGGUAGUAGCUGCUUGUGUGAUUCCGGGUUGAUGAUUCGGGUGAAGGAUCCAGCACGUAGUCUGGGUUUAGUUUAGGCUUGGAAAUUUGGGUCUUUUUCUUAUGGACUAAGACAAUAAGAUAAAGCUAGGGUUUUUAUUUUUUAUUUUUUAGGCU